rnacentral:rRNA from 1 species
GACGAACGCUGGCGGCGUGCUUAACACAUGCUAGUCGAACGGAAAGGCCCUGCUUUUGUGGGGUGCUCGAGUGGCGAACGGGUGAGUAACACGUGAGUAACCUGCCCUUGACUUUGGGAUAACUUCAGGAAACUGGGGCUAAUACCGGAUAGGAGCUCCUGCUGCAUGGUGGGGGUUGGAAAGUUUCGGCGGUUGGGGAUGGACUCGCGGCUUAUCAGCUUGUUGGUGGGGGAGUGGCUUACCAAGGCUUUGACGGGUAGCCGGCCUGAGAGGGUGACCGGCCACAUUGGGAGUGAGAUACGGCCCAGACUCCUACGGGAGGCAGCAGUGGGGAAUAUUGCACAAUGGGCGGAAGCCUGAUGCAGCAACGCCGCGUGCGGGAUGACGGCCUUCGGGUUGUAAACCGCUUUCGCCUGUGACGAAGCGUGAGUGACGGUAAUGGGUAAAGAAGCACCGGCUAACUACGUG